rnacentral:misc_RNA from 1 species
GUUGAAGUUCGGUUCCAAUCCUCAUUUGAUCUGCGUUCUUCCUUACUCCAAGGAAAGUCGAUGUUGGAUUGGUGGGUAGAAAUCAAUGAUUUUCUGUCUAAUUAUCCUCGGGAAGCAGACAUGGUUCCACAGUUGGUUUUUCUCAUGUGGCAAAUUUGGAAGAAUAAAAAUCAAAGAAUCUUUCAAAACCUGGUUAAUUCCCAUCAUCAGAUUAUCUCAUUGGCCUUCAAGCACUUUGAUGAAUUCAUUUCAUCUCAAGAGGUUAAUGAAGGCCAUAGGGUCUCAUCCAUGCAGGCUCAGAC